AUGGCGUACAAGCUCGACCUGCCCGCGUCCAGUCGGGUGCACCCAGUCUUCCACGUCUUCCAGCUGAAGCCGUUCACACCAGACUAUACGCCGGUGUACGCGGAACUGCCGCGGGUGCCUGACCUGUCCUUGGCCGGCACGGCACCGACGCGCAUCCUGGAGCGACGGAUGAUGAAGAGGGGCAACGCACCGGUGGUGCAGAUCAAGGUGCAGUGGGGCGACAGUUCACCGCACGCAGUCACCUGGGAGGAUUUCGACGUGCUGCGCAAACGCUUUCCUGCCGCUGCAAUCUGGGAGGUUGACGACGCAAGCUCACAGGAGGAGGCUGGAUCGCAAGGAGGGGAGAAUGUCACGCCUGGCCACUUGGCCACCACUUGUCCAGCGUGA
rnacentral:rRNA from 1 species